rnacentral:misc_RNA from 1 species
ACGCAAUUAAAGAGAAAUUUAUCUUCAAUCUUGUUAUGAAACAAAUAAUAAGAUCCGAGAAUUGGGUUAAAAAAAACAAAUCAAAUAAAGAGAUAACAAAGAGUCUAUACCUUUAAUUUCAAUAAAUAAUUCAAUUUUUUAGUUAUACCAAAAUCAAGGGUGAAAAUAAAACAAUAUAAAGAUCUAUGCAUAUUUUAAAGCAUGUAUAUUUAGUUUUUUUUUUAUUAUUUUUUAUUAUUCUUUUUUUGAUAAUUAAAAGCAUACAAUUUAAAUUUGAGUAUUCUGACAUAUAAAAUUGAAAAGAAAUUAUAUGGGUGAAUAAUCAUAUAAUUAAUGCAGGUAUUUGGUGCAUGCCAAUGGCAUAUGUGCUGGUUAUUCCCUUCUUUCGGCUGUGAUUGUAGCAAUGCCUCGACCAUCCACCAUGUCCAAAGCCUGGACAUUCUUCUUCCUUGAUCAGGUGUUAACAUACAUAAUUCUGGCGGCGGCUGCGGUAUCGGUGGAGGUGCUGUACCUGGCACGAAAGGGAGACACAUCCAUCACUUGGAGUGCAGUUUGUGUUUCGUUUGGGGGAUUCUGUCACAAGGCCACAGCAUCUGCAAUCAUUACAUUUGCUGUAGUAGCUUGCUAUAUACUGCUUUCGCUUCUCUCCUCGUACAAACUUUUCAGCAGAUUUAGUGCACCAGCUAUAAGCUACCCUGGCAAGGACAUCGAGAUUGCCGGCUGUCAAGGCUAAUUAUCACCUCCGGCCACCACCACCGCCUGCUUGGUUGGAUAUCUAUGGUCAAUAACAGUUGUUGUUGGUUUGCUUUUGUGUGAGCUUUGGACUUUCUUGUACUUGAUAUGUGUUUAAACUUUGAAAUUAAUCUACCAAAUAAGAAGCUUUACAUAUAUACUUCUCAUGCAAGUUAAUUACAAUUAUAUUUGAAGCUAAUGUAUAAAAGGGGAUCAAUUUCAAUAAAAUUUAAG